GACGUAGGGUGCAAGCGUUUGUCCGGAAUUACUGGGCGUAAAGGGCUCGUAGGCGGCCAACUAAGUCGGAUGUGAAAUCCCCAGGCUUAACCUGGGAACUGCAUCCGAUACUGGAUGGCUUGAAUCCGGGAGAGGGAUGCGGAAUUCCAGGUGUAGCGGUGAAAUGCGUAGAUAUCUGGAGGAACACCGGUGGCGAAGGCGCAUCCUGGACCGGGCAUUGACGCUGAGGAGCGAAAGCCAGGGGGAGCAAAACGGG
rnacentral:rRNA from 1 species